rnacentral:rRNA from 1 species
GAAUAUUGGACAAUGGGGGAAACCCUGAUCCAGCGAUGCCGCGUGUGUGAAGAAGGCCUGCGGGUUGUAAAGCACUUUCGGCAGGGAAGAAAAGCGUAGGACGAAUAAUCCUGCGUCUUGACGUCACCUGCAUAAGAAGCACCGGCAAACUCCGUGCCAGCAGCCGCGGUAAUACGGAGGGUGCGAGCGUUAAUCGGAAUUACUGGGCGUAAAGCGCACGUAGGUGGCCAUUUAAGUCGGAUGUGAAAGCCCCGGGCUUAACCUGGGAAUUGCAUUCGAUACUGGGUGGCUAGAGUUCGGAAGAGGGAAGUGGAAUUCCAGGUGUAGCGGUGAAAUGCGUAGAUAUCUGGAGGAACAUCAGUGGCGAAGGCGACUUCCUGGUCCGAAACUGACACUGAGGUGCGAAAGCGUGGGGAGCAAACAGG